rnacentral:rRNA from 1 species
GCAGCCGCGGUAACACGUAAGCCCCAAGCGUUGUUCGGAAUUAUUGGGCGUAAAGGGCAUGUAGGCGGUUAUGUAAGCCUGAUGUGAAAUCUACGAGCUUAACUCGUAAACUGCAUUGGGUACUGCGUAACUUGAAUCACGGAGGGGAAACCGGAAUUCCAAGUGUAGGGGUGGAAUCUGUAGAUAUUUGGAAGAACACCGGUGGCGAAGGCGGGUUUCUGGCCGAUGAUUGACGCUGAGAUGCGAAGGUGCGGGGAGCAAACAGGAUUAGAUACCCUGGUAGUCCGCACAGUAAACAAUGUACACUAGGCGUUGGAGCAAGAGCUUCAGUGCCGACGCAAACGCAUUAAGUGUACCGCCUGGGAAGUAUGCCCGCAAGGGUGAAACUCAAAGGAAUUGACGGGGGCCCACACAAGCGGUGGAGCAUGUGGUUUAAUUCGAUGAUACGCGAGGAACCUUACCUGGGUUUGACAUCAAGAGUAAUGGUAUAGAGAUAUAUCAGCGUAGCAAUACGACUC